CUUAUAAACAAUAAAAGCUUCUUUGAAAUCCUCUUCCAACCAAAUUACCAUCUCUUGUAUGAAAAUUCCAGAGCCAUCAAUAGAGGAUCAAAACUUUUUAUCAAAAGAAAUCAACAGUAUUUGGUUUAUUCUUUUUUCUCCUAAGUAGGGCAGUGCCAGGAUGGGAGUGAAUCUCUGGGCCAAUCUGUGACCACAGAGGCAGGUCUGGGGUACCUUGGAGGAGGCUGUCCCUCGCCCAAGCAUCUCUGCUACCAUCUGGAGUGAGACCAAAGCCACUGAACCAGCUGACCUGGGAAUCUCGGUCCUAACUCUUCCAGCCAAAUGACUUGAGCAACCGCACCUUUCAUUCACACAGAUUAUCUGUCUCCCCUAUUAGUGUAACCACUUGACCAAGGCAGGCCUUCUCUUCACCUGCUCUGUUCUCUGCUGUAUCCCUGGAGCCAAGAACAUGCCCAAAGUAGGGGCUCAAUAAAUGUCUGCUAAAUAAACGAACUCCCUGAGCCCCAGUUUCCUCAUCUGUCCCAGGUAGAUGCUGUUAAUAAGAGUUGUCUUGAGAAGUACAUUUUAAAAAUAUCUUUAAAUGCUUUGCAAAAUGUAAAGUCCUAUGCACGGGGUGAGUUGGUGUUCCUCUCAUUCCAUACCGAGGGGUUGUGCAGACAGAAUGACUGUGGCCAGAAAGCCAGCCUGCGUUUUCCCCGCUGGUUUCCUCCUGUGUUUUCCCGGCUGGUAUGCUGAUGGUCCAGAAUCUUGCUUGGGAAACACAGGGUUUCCAAAGUCUUCAGCUUUCAGAGUCAAUCUUUCAUUUACGCUAAACCCAGCUCUUCCUCCUUGCUACUCGAUCAGCAGACAGUUCGAUAUUUUCCUGGGUUUCAAAUCCUGGGCAUUUUCAGCCCUUUUUUCUCUCUGCUCUGCCAAACAAGUCACUCACCCCCACUAUUCAUGCUUCUCUCCCUGCUGGUCCCCAUCAGGGUGGCACCAGUGACUGCCACUGUCCCAGUCCUCAGAGCCACCAGGCACCCCAUCCACAGGGAGAGCUCCUUUGCCCUAACUUUUCCAGCAAUAAUCCCCAAAUAUCCUCUUAAACAGGGAGGAAUAGAUCACACGCACCCUCCAAACCAAACAAGAUGGCCCGGGGAUGAAAUGCAUAGACUGACCUAGACUUCAUCUAUGCACUAUUUGAACAAAUGUGUACCCAGCAGGUACCAAGCUGCAGGCAGUGUUUGUUCUAGGCGACGGCAAAUCAGUGGCGGAAAAGACAGAAAUCCCUGUGGGUCGUGAAGUGGAUGCAAUGGUUGGUUGUACAUUUCCUAUUGCCCCUGUAACAAAUUACUCAAAGAGCAGCUAGAGUAACUUUCAUUUGUCUCUUGCAGUUCUGCAGGUCAGAAGCUCAAAAGGGCUAAAAUCAAGAUGUUUCCAGGACUGUCCUCCUCUGCAGAGGCUGCAGGGGAGAAUUCGUUUCUUUGCCUCUUCUGGCUUCUAGAGGAUGCCAACAUUUCCCGACUCCCGGCCCCUCCUCUGUCUUCAAGGACAGCAGUGGAAGGUUGAGCUCCGCCGUUGUGACAUUGUCACCUUGCUUCCAUCUUUACAUCUCUGACUCAGAGUCCCCUGCCUCCCUCAUUCACCUUUAAGGACCCCAUGAUGACAUUGGACCCACCCGGAUAAUCCAGGGACAUCUCCCCAUUCCCAAGUAAACAUCCUGUGACUAAGAAUGCCUGGCCUCCUGGGAAUACAGCCCAGCAGGUCUCAGCCUCAUUUUACCCAGCCCCUAUUCAAGAUGGAGUUGCUAUUCAAGAUGGAGUCGCUCUGGUUCACACACCUGUGGCCACAAAAGAAAGAUUGGAUGACUAUAUAAGUGAUCAACCAACCAAACAAAAGAGAGGCAAGUAAUACGGUGCGGUGACUAAAGGAUGGUGCUGGAAUUGGAGGACUGAGGAUUACUGUUGAAAUUCUAGCUCUACCAUUCAGCAGCUGGGAUCCACCAUGAGGAGUGUGUCCAGAGAGGAGCUGCUCUCCCUUUAGACUAUGCCCAAGAUAAACACAUAUGGAGCAGACCUGAUCCCAACCCACAGCCUGCAGCCAUGCCCAGCAGAGCCCAGCCUGGAUCCGCCAAGUCGUGCUUGACCUAUGGACCUGAAUGUAGGAAUAAGUACUUAUUGUUAAUAUACAUGAAUGUAAGAAUUACUACCACUGAGUUGGGUUUGUGACAACUGACAAAUUACUGAGCUUUCAAAUUGUGCUUCACAGAUACCAAGGGCAGUAGUUAAAAAAAAAAAUCCUCUUCUCAAACCCAGAGUGCAUUCAUUCAUUUAUUAAUUAAUUAAUUCUCUUAGUUAUUCAACACAGUUUUUGAGCCCUCAGAUGUUAGGCAUUGUUGUAGGUGCUGGGGAUAUGGAAUUUAAUGAGGCAGCCAUUCAUGGUUCCUGCCUUCAUGGUAUGACCAUUUUGGUAGAGGAGACCAUAAACAGACCAGUAAAUAGAUAAAUAAACAAACAAAUGCAUAGGUUCAACAUAUGCUGUUAUUGAAAUGAGACAAAAGGUGAGCUGAAGUGGGAAUAGGAGUGGCCACUUCAAACUGGGGGUCAAGGAAGGCUUCUCUGAGGAGGGGACAUUUAAGCUGACACUGUAGAAAGAGACAGCCAAAGAAUUUGCUCCAAGAGAGCGUUUCAGGAAGUGGGUAUAAUCAGGGAAAAGACCUUGAAGCAGGGAAGUAUCUGGUUCAGUCAAGGAAGAGAAAGGAGGCAACCAGGCUAGGACACAGAAGAGGAGGAGAGGGGUCUUCUGGUGUGCCUGAGUGCUCCUAUAGAGGUACAGGGCCUCAUGGGAGGAAGGGUCUGAAGUUAACAAAAUAAGCAAAGGAACAUAGGUGAAAGGUUUAAGCCAGGGAGUGAUUACCCUUCAGAUCACUCAGCUGUGAUCUGAUCUUUAAAAAUAUACACUCAGAAAUAGUGACCCAAUAUGACUGUGAUUCUGAACUGCAAAGCAAGGAGACACACCCUCUUGAGGGUGGUUUUCUGUUAUAAAUCUCUGUCUCAGGGGUCCUAAGCAGUGUCCAGCAACGGGGACAGAAGAAUGAGGGCCCACUCAGAGAGGUUCUGCUUCAGUUGCUUUAUACCUGGGCCCUUGCUAAAGUUUUAUUUGAAGAGAGAGUGCUGUGUUAAAUAAAUGAAUAUGAUAAAAUAAAGGAAAAUAGAAAUAACAACAACAACAUGUGAAUUUGUAUCUAGACCAAGCCAAGCCAAGACUCAGAUCUGGGAAACAGGUUCAGAAAGGUGGGGGCCUGGUUCAGAGUCACCCAGCACAUUAAUGCCCAGCUUCUUCUCACAUUUACACAACAGUAACCAUUUACAGUGACUUCACAGUCAGUGUCCUGGUAGGGUAGUUAAUACACUGUCCCUGAAUGAACAGUAUCUCCCUGCAGAGCUGGAAGCUGUGGUAUGUAGAUGCAGCACUGCAUCUCCUAUUUAUCCACACUAGAGAAGCAGCAAGCAGAGGUGGGAGAGGAU
rnacentral:lncRNA from 1 species